rnacentral:tRNA from 1 species
UCUAAUGUGGCAGAUUAGUGCAAUGGAUUUAAACCCCAUGUAUAAAGUUUUACUCUUUUUUUAGAA